UGGAGUUUUAGAUAUAUGCAAAAUCGUAUUAGAUCACCAUGCUCUCACCCAAAGGUUUGAAAAACCAUUGCUUUCAGUUCUGGUAACAUAUGUUUUUGUUUCAGUUUUGCUAAUUCUUUCUCCAAUGGGCCUUUAUAUAUUAUCUUUCACUUGUCUUACUAUAUGAAAAAUAUGUGGCCUUUAGCGAGCAAUCUGGCUCAGUUUUCUGGUUAAAAAACAGACAACAUGGAUUUACCAUGUUCUAUUAAAAGAAAGCUGGAGUUCAAAUUCUAAUUUUAGUUCAGUGAAGAUCAAUGGGAAAAUGCACAAGAAGUUCAGACUCUUGUUUCCUAAAGUGUUUGUUUUGGUAUGUCUAGCCCAAACAAUCAUCAAUUUUUUUAAAAAAAUUCUCUGUUGUCAAAUAAAAGCUACACUAAUUAUUAUGGACAUGCUCAUUACAAACUUUUGUAAUGGUGCAGUACACCUAUUUAAUUUUUUUAUAUAUUUACAAAACAGAAAUUAUAAUUCUCAGAAACCUACAAAAAAAGCAUCAAUUUAUAUUGAUAGUUGUUCUAGUCCUUAUGUUACAACAGUGCAAUGAAAAAAUCUCAUCAGUUCAACAACAUGGACAUGCUAAUGCUGUAGCGAGUCCAUGCUAAUGCUGUAGUGAUCUCGUGCUCGGCCACAAGGAUGUCGGCUGCAAUGAUGCCAAAGUGACGAGCUAUCUACAUUCUGCCUGGCUGUUGUCCAUCUAUAUCUGUGUCCGUGGUGCGUCGCCAGCGGCAUCAUCCCUGACCAGGGCACCAUGCUGAGGCACUUGCUACUACUAACGCACACUGCAUUUGACGCAUAAAGAUGGAAAAUGCAGGAAGUCGCAUGUUUAUGUGGAGCUAAUGCACACCAUUUUUUUGCUGAAAAUACCGCGGUUAAAAUGAAGGUAAGCUUGUGCGUGUAUUUGUCUGAGGUGGUUGGUUCUAGAAAGGGAGAUUCACACAAGUAGGUUUAAAGAUAUUAUUUAUUAAAAAGUUGUAGCUCUUUUCUUGGUUUAUGGUCAGCUCAUGCAUCGAGUUUCCAUCCAAUCCAUGGGAUGACCUCUACCUGCACGUACUUGCUGCUAAAAUGUUGUGUCGUUAAACUUGUUAUGAAGCCACUGUUAUUCUUCAGCUGCGACCUACAGGAGUUUCUUCAUCUGCGCUUCAACAAAAAAGAACAGCAGCAGUCCAUGCAUCUGCCGUAUCUCUUUCCUCUCUACUGCUCUUUUCUCUUACUAAUUUGUUUCUCUUUGAACUGCAGCAUGGGGGAGGUUGGACUACAGACAACCCCCGCCGCCCCAUGCAUUACUUCCUCCGGUCCCUGUCCAGGUAUGGGGUUCACACCAGUCCAACUCUUUCUCCCUUCUCCGUCCAGUUGUUGUAUGCUACUCCAAAUGCCAAUGAUCAUGCAAAACAGUUGUUGCUAGAGUCUACAUGAUUUGUAGUGUAGAUGCCAUAGUUUCACCCUAUUUUUCUGGUUCUAAUUAUUGCUGCAUAACUCUUUAAAAGAAUGUUUUGUGAAUGUUUGUGAUCAUGGCUUGUAGGUAUUCAUGUGAACUUUAAAAUAAUGAUUGUUCUUGUAGGAGGUUCAAAGAUUGUCGUGGAGCAAGUUUAAGAGAUUAGUUUCGUGAAAAUAAUGUGAUCUUUUGGUCAGGAUUUUGCAUGAUCCAUAGCCAUCAAUGGCAACAGGCGAGCAGUUCAAGGCCUCCUACGUGAGCUUGUUGUCUCAACACAUCUAUCAUCGGAGUAUCUGCAUCCCCUUGCCGCACACACAUGCCCGGCGGUCGAGAUAUUGUUGUUUGUGAUUACUGGUCGUGACUCUUACGUUGUCAUUGGUUGUCAUUGGACAAAGAAUUUGUUUUGUAACUCUGUAUUGGCAGGACCCUCAGUAAAUAUAUGUUCUUAGUAUUCUGAUCUUUAGGCCAAAAUGGUGAAACUUUAAACAUGAGUCUGAAUUAAUAAAACUGAGAAGUUCUACUAUCAGUAAACGGGUGGACCUAGGUGCAACAAAGCUCUGCCAUUAGCCGUGGUGAUUAUCAGUUCACGUGUAUUGUGUUCUUUUUGUUAGUCAGAUUGUGUGCAAGUUUGUUACCGGUUCAUGUGUAUGUGUUGGUAAUCACUGCUGUUGCUGCUAG
rnacentral:lncRNA from 1 species